rnacentral:rRNA from 1 species
CUGCAGUCGAGGGGCAGCGCAGGUAGCAAUACUGGGCGGCGACCGGCAAACGGGUGCGGAACACGUACGUAACCUUCCUCUAAAUGGAGCAUAGCCCGAAGAAAUUCGGAUUAAUACUCCAUAAGAUUGUAGAGUGGCAUCACUCAGCAAUUAAAGAAUUUCGUUUAGAGAUGGGCGUGCGGCUGAUUAGGUAGUUGGUGAGGUAACGGCUCACCAAGCCGACGAUCAGUAACUGGCGUGAGAGCGCGACCAGUCACACGGGCACUGAGACACGGGCCCGAUUCCUACGGGAGGCAGCAGUAAGGAAUAUUGGUCAAUGGACGCAAGUCUGAACCAGCCAUGCCGCGUGAAGGAUGAAGGUCCUCUGGAUUGUAAACUUCUUUUAUAUGGGAAGAAACCACUCUUAUCUAAGGGUGUUGACGGUACCAUAGGAAUAAGCACCGGCUAACUCCGUGCCAGCAGCCGCGGUAAUACGGAGGGUGCAAGCGUUAUCCGGAUUCACUGGGUUUAAAGGGUGCGUAGGCGGGUUAGUAAGUCCGUGGUGAAAUCUCCAAGCUUAACUUGGAAACUGCCGUGGAUACUAUUAACCUUGAAUGUUGUGGAGGUUAGCGGAAUAUGUCAUGUAGCGGUGAAAUGCUUAGAUAUGACAUAGAACACCAAUUGCGAAGGCAGCUGGCUACACAAAUAUUGACGCUGAGGCACGAAAGCGUGGGGAUCAAACAGGAUUAGAUACCCUGGUAGUCCACGCCCUAAACGAUGAUUACUCGACAUUUGCGAUAUACAGUAAGUGUCUGAGCGAAAGCAUUAAGUAAUCCACCUGGGAAGUACGACCGCAAGGUUGAAACUCAAA